rnacentral:rRNA from 1 species
GCAAGUCGAGCGGUAGAGAGAAGCUUGCUUCUCUUGAGAGCGGCGGACGGGUGAGUAAUGCCUAGGAAUCUGCCUGGUAGUGGGGGAUAACGUUCGGAAACGAACGCUAAUACCGCAUACGUCCUACGGGAGAAAGCAGGGGACCUUCGGGCCUUGCGCUAUCAGAUGAGCCUAGGUCGGAUUAGCUAGUUGGUGAGGUAAUGGCUCACCAAGGCGACGAUCCGUAACUGGUCUGAGAGGAUGAUCAGUCACACUGGAACUGAGACACGGUCCAGACUCCUACGGGAGGCAGCAGUGGGGAAUAUUGGACAAUGGGCGAAAGCCUGAUCCAGCCAUGCCGCGUGUGUGAAGAAGGUCUUCGGAUUGUAAAGCACUUUAAGUUGGGAGGAAGGGCAUUAACCUAAUACGUUAGUGUUUUGACGUUACCGACAGAAUAAGCACCGGCUAACUCUGUGCCAGCAGCCGCGGUAAUACAGAGGGUGCAAGCGUUAAUCGGAAUUACUGGGCGUAAAGCGCGCGUAGGUGGUUUGUUAAGUUGGAUGUGAAAUCCCCGGGCUCAACCUGGGAACUGCAUUCAAAACUGACUGACUAGAGUAUGGUAGAGGGUGGUGGAAUUUCCUGUGUAGCGGUGAAAUGCGUAGAUAUAGGAAGGAACACCAGUGGCGAAGGCGACCACCUGGACUAAUACUGACACUGAGGUGCGAAAGCGUGGGGAGCAAACAGGAUUAGAUACCCUGGUAGUCCACGCCGUAAACGAUGUCAACUAGCCGUUGGAAGCCUUGAGCUUUUAGUGGCGCAGCUAACGCAUUAAGUUGACCGCCU